rnacentral:rRNA from 1 species
AGCAGCCGCGGUAAUUCCAGCUCCAAUAGCGUAUAUUAAAGUUGCUGCAGUUAAAAAGCUCGUAGUUGAAUUUCGGGAUCGAUAUAUCGGUCGUGCCUCGGUACGUACUGGUAUUUUCGGUUUCUCCCUUCUGACGAACCUUGAUGUCAUUAAUUUGGUGUCUUGGGGAAUCAGGACUGUUACUUUGAAAAAAUUAGAGUGUUUAAAGCAGGCUCACGCUUGAAUACAUUAGCAUGGAAUAAUGAAAUAGGACGUUUGAUUCUAUUUUGUUGGUUUCUAGGAUCGACGUAAUGAUUAAUAGGGAUAGUUGGGGGCAUUAGUAUUCAAUUGUCAGAGGUGAAAUUCUUGGAUUUAUUGAAGACUAACUACUGCGAAAGCAUUUGCCAAGGAUGUUUUCAUUAAUCAAGAACGAAAGUUAGGGGAUCGAAGACGAUCAGAUACCGUCGUAGU